GUCCUAAUCUUCUAGUGGUAAGAAGAUAACUUUUCACGUUAUAAACACAAGUUCAAUUCUUGUUUAGGGCA
rnacentral:tRNA from 1 species